rnacentral:rRNA from 1 species
UACGGAGGGUGCAAGCGUUAAUCGGAAUUACUGGGCGUAAAGCGCACGUAGGUGGCUGUUUAAGUCGGGUGUGAAAUCCCUGGGCUCAACCUGGGAAUUGCAUUCGAUACUGAACGGCUAGAGUACGGUAGAGGGAGGUAGAAUUCCUAGUGUAGCGGUGAAAUGCGUAGAUAUUAGGAGGAAUACCGGUGGCGAAGGCGGCCUCCUGGACUGAUACUGACACUGAGGUGCGAAAGCGUGGGGAGCAAACAGG